rnacentral:rRNA from 1 species
UACGAAGGUGGCAAGCGUUGUCCGGAUUUACUGGGCGUAAAGAGCGCGUAGGCGGUCUGUUAAGUGUAGAGUGAAAUCUCCAGGGCUCAACCCGGAAACUGCUCUGCAUACUGGCAGACUGGAGUGAUGCAGAGGUUUGUGGAAUUCCUGGUGUAACGGUGAAAUGUGUUGAUAUCAGGAGGAACACCCAUGGCGAAGGCAGCAAACUGGGCAUUAACUGACGCUGAGGCGCGAAAGCGUGGGUAGCAAACAGG